UCAUUAAUUAAUAUGGGAAGCUUGGGCCUUUCUGAAGCCCCAAUGCUGGGUGGACCGCAAAACGCUCAAAAGCGGAAUUGUCCGGCCUGAGAUUCACUGAAUAUUUGUUACACAAUAUUAUUUCACGUCGAAGCAUUCUCCCUGAUGGUAGAUGACUGAGUAGUGUUUUCCGUAGGGAAGACAUAAGCUCAUAAUAACGAAUCCGACCAGGCCAGGGAUGGAGCAGUCGUAAGUUGAGUUAUUUACGCUUCAGGAAUUGGGUGUGGAGUGUAAUAAUAUCUGAGCGUAGCAAAUGGAUGUGAGUCGAGGGUCGGGUUUUUAUCA
rnacentral:SRP_RNA from 1 species